rnacentral:rRNA from 1 species
UAAUACGUAGGGGGCGAGCGUUGUCCGGAAUUACUGGGCGUAAAGGGCGCGUAGGCGGCCCGCUAAGUCUGUUGUGAAAGACCGAGGCUCAACCUCGGGGUGUCAACGGAGACUGGUGGGCUCGAGUUUUGGAGAGGAGCGGGGAAUCCCUGGUGUAGCGGUGGAAUGCGUAGAGAUCAGGGGGAACACCGAUGGCGAAGGCACCGCUCUGGCCGAUGACUGACGCUGAGGCGCGAAAGCGUGGGGAGCGAACGGGAUUAGAUACCCCGGUAGUCCACGCCGUAAACGAUGUCGACUAGGUGUGGGGGGAGUCACUCCCUCCGUGCCGCAGCUCACGCAUGAAGUCGACCGCCUGGGGAGUACGGCCGCAAGGUUG